ACUGGUGCUAUUAUGAAAUGGAGAUAGAAUUAUAGUUUCUGUAUUUAACUGUGAGUUCUUGAGAAAAUGUUUUGAUUCAGUUCAUUGUUGGUGGGUUUAUUUUGGGUGGAGAUUGAAUUACAGUUCGGAGUGAAGUAUAAUUCUAUAUGGGUGUUGCAGAUGGGGUUUGAGAUUGUAUUGCAGUUGAGUUUGCAUAUAGUGUUGCUGUCAGUGAUUCUGUCAUGCAACUGUUAUGAAUUUAGUUGUGUUGGUGUUGAUAUUGAUGUUACAGGGGAGGAGAUGUGUGGUAGUUCUGUAGCUAUAGGUGAUGUUUAGGGUUGUGAGAAUGGGUUUGUUAGUGAUUAGUGAAUGGUGGUAGUGGUGCUGGUGUUACAGCUCAUGGGGUUGGCAGUGAUGUUGAAGCUCAAGGGAUGUGAAUGAACUGUAGUUGAGAUGGUAUUGGUGAAUAUAUGAUGGAGUUGUAAUUAUAAAGUGAUGAUGUACUACAGAGAUGGAAUUGAGGUGAUAAUGAAGUUGUUUGUGUUUUUGGUGGUAUUGAAAUUGAUAGUGGUGUUGAGAGGUGUUGGUAAAUCGCAGUAAGAAUUGUGGAGUUGAACUCAGUUGAAGUAGUUUGUGGUUUGUGUAGGACUCUUGGAGUUGGUCUGUGCAAUUAAAAGGUAUAAGCUGAGUUGGUUGUAAUGCUGUCAUAGUAAAGGGUUUAGUGAAAGCUACAAUUGCAGUUUCAGAGACAGAUCAGGGUUGCGCAGUGGAAGCUUUGCGGCGUUGAGUCUUCUGCUAAGUUUAUUAUGUUGUAUAUUCUGUUUGCAAACCAAAUGACAAUUGUAUAUGUAUCAUUUGAGAGGAAUUUUUAUUUAUAUAUUUCUGAACGGGGCUAGAUUUUGGGUUAAGUUUUGUUGCAGAUUUAUUAAUUGAAUGUUUAAGUAAAUGAUUA